rnacentral:rRNA from 1 species
GGGGGGGGGGGGGGGGGGGGGGGGGGGGGGGAGGGGGGGGAGCGGAGGAGAAGCUGGCUUCUCUGAUGUUAGCGGCGGGGGGGUGAGUAGCACGUGGAGAAGGUACCUAUAAGACUGGGGUAACUUGGGGAAACCGGAGCUAGUACCGGCUGAUAUUUUGCACCGCAUUGUUCAAAAGUGAAAGACGGUCUGCCGCUACUUAUAGAUGGAUCCGCGCUGCAUUAGCUAGUUGGUAAGGUAACGGCUUACCAAGGCAACGGUGCAUAGGCGACCUGGGAGGGAGAUCGACCACACUGGAACUGGAACACGGUCCAAGCUCCUACGGGAGGCAGCAGUAGGGAAUCUUCCGCAAUGGGCGAAAGCCUGACGGAGCAACGCCGCGUGAGUGAUGAAGGUCUUCGGAUCGUAAAACUCUGUUAUUAGGGAAGAACAUAUGUGUAAGUAACUGUGCACAUCUUGACGGUACCUAAUCAGAAAGCCACGGCUAACUACGUG